rnacentral:lncRNA from 1 species
AUCUAGGAUUGGAAUAUGAGCUUUUAUACAAUUCAUAUUCUUAUUUGGCAAAUGCACAGUUUAGUAUUACCUCUCUGAUGGCCUUUACUAGAAAGGCAGUUUUAGAAGCUAUUGUGAUCCACUAAGGAAAUGUUUUAACAGCUAGAGACCACUGCUUGCCUGAAAGGGCGUUCUUAAAUUUGGUGCAUCAAAAAAAAAAAAAAAUUAAACAACAACAUUUGAAGGCC